rnacentral:ribozyme from 1 species
ACUCUCAAUGUCUGCCCAUGGGAAGGUCUGAGGCUGGGAAAGCGUGGUAUCCUUCUGGGUUGCCAGGAAAGCGUGCUUCAGCAACGAGGAAA